GAUGAAGAACGUAGCGAAAUGCGAUAAGUAAUGUGAAUUGCAGAAUUCAGUGAAUCAUCGAAUCUUUGAACGCACAUUGCGCCCGCCAGUAUUCUGGCGGGCAUGCCUGUUCGAGCGUCAUUUCAACCAUCAAGCUCUGCUUGUGUUGGGGUCCUGCGGCUGCCCGCAGGCCCUGAAACCCAGUGGCGGGCUCGCUAGUCACACCGAGCGCAGUAGCACAUCUCGCUCAGGGCGUGCGGCGGGUUCUUGCCGUAAAACAACCCCCCCUUUUCACCAAGGUUGACCUCGGAUCAGGUAGGAAUACCCGCUGAACUUAAGCAUAUCAAUAAGCGGAGGA
rnacentral:misc_RNA from 1 species